rnacentral:rRNA from 1 species
AUUGAACGCUGGCGGCAUGCCUUACACAUGCAAGUCGAACGGCAGCACGGGAGCAAUCCUGGUGGCGAGUGGCGAACGGGUGAGUAAUAUAUCGGAACGUGCCCAGUCGUGGGGGAUAACGUAGCGAAAGCUACGCUAAUACCGCAUACGAUCUAUGGAUGAAAGCGGGGGAUCGCAAGACCUCGCGCGAUUGGAGCGGCCGAUAUCAGAUUAGGUAGUUGGUGGGGUAAAAGCCCACCAAGCCGACGAUCUGUAGCUGGUCUGAGAGGACGACCAGCCACACUGGGACUGAGACACGGCCCAGACUCCUACGGGAGGCAGCAGUGGGGAAUUUUGGACAAUGGGCGCAAGCCUGAUCCAGCAAUGCCGCGUGCAGGAUGAAGGCCUUCGGGUUGUAACUGCUUUGUACGGAACGAAACGGUCGUCUCCUAAUACGGGGGCGUAAGUGACGGUACCGUAAGAAUAAGCACCGGCUAACUACGUGCCAGCAGCCGCGGUAA